AACUGAGUUAAUCCAAGAAUGUCCAAGAAUUCCAGAUGGUUGCCAUAAAAAGUCCCAAACAAGACACAAACCUUGUUAGCUGCAACCUACACACAGGAGCUGACACCCCAAGCUGAGGGAUGCUGUGGAGACCAGAUAAGGAGGCAAACACUGCCUCCCGCUCUAUGCCCAGGCUCUGCAAAUGAGUCUGUGAGGCAACGGGGAGCUUACACUCCAAGAGAUAAGGUGAAACUGUUUCAGUAGACAGCUAGGAGACAGCCAGGGACUCAGCAACCUUAUCAGAGCCAAACCUGAGAGGCAAGGUUAUGUCUACGACAUGAGUUCACACCUGUUGGCCACUGUGGACCAGCAGCAGGUAGUCCUGUCUCUGUGGCCCAUGUGAACACAGUGUCGUUUGUCCAGCAUUUAGCUGCCCAGGAUGCACUGACCUGGAUCUGUGCUGGCUUUUAGGAAGCAGCGGGCUGGAUCGCUGCCACCGGGACCUCAGAAAGCAAAUGCCCUUCAAGACGUCAGGGUCUGCUGUAUGAGAGGAGCCACAGAGAACAGAGACACCACCCAGAUCCACAAGAAGAAGGAGAGACCCCUCUGGCUCAUCAAGAACCCUGGUUUACUGGGAGCUCCUUCCUGUUGACCUGUAGGAUCCUUGUAUGUGCUCUUGCAGGGGAACUUCUGGACACCGUCAUGGAGGACAGACUCCCAGUAUGCAGACAGACAGACUCCUCCGUGAGCCUUCUUGUUCCUGUAGAUAAUGGUGCUGUCCCAAAUGUGUCCAGUCCCCAAGAGCAAAAUGAUGUGAGUGGGAAGACGGCCUCCCAGCUCUACCUGCUCUCUGGGGCUGGCACUCCGCCCUUCUGUACAGAACCUUCCGUGCCUCUCCCGAUGCCCUUCCUGCCACCUCAGAAUCCACCAUCACCCCCAUCCCCGGUCUCUGUAGCCCAGAAGAAACCAUGUGACUUAAAGACUGCAUGUGUCACCCCAUGGAGAGAGUCACCUGACCAGCCUGGAGCACUACUGGAUCUCAGCUGUUUCUGAAGAAUCCUUUCUAUUCUCUCCUGAUGGACCAGAAAGAGCAAAUAAAGAAAGAGGGUCCCCUAAAGAUGCCGUCACCCCCCAGACAACAGGAAGCAGUCUAGAGAAUAUGGUGAGUGGGUUUUGGUCAUUCAAUGAGUUAUGGAUAUUAUUCAUCCUUUAGGGGGGUGGUUGCAAUUUGUUAUUGGUCAUAGAAAAAACUGAACAAAGGAGAUUAGAUUCAGAGAUUAGAAUCUGAAGGGAAAAUAAGGGAUAUAGUAUAGAAAUGAUGGGAUAAAGGGUGGAUUGCCAAAUCUAUUUUUGAAUAACCACUAGUCUCAAAUAUUUUACACUGAUAUAGAUUUUGGUAUAUUGAUAUAAAUUUAAGGUUAUUUUUAUUAUACUGUAUAUAUGUUUCUACUCUUGUUUAGGGUAUUGUGCCUAUGCAGUUCAUUUUAAAAUGUAAUGUAAAGUUUUAGUCCUUGAAAGCCAUUUAGGGUAAUAAAAAAGACCAAUUAAUAGUCAUCUAUAAAAAAUCAAACUUAUAGUCAUAUGAGGUAUGUUUUCAAGGUCAAACAGAGAUAUAUUUUAAAUAGAUAGAUGGCCUGUAAGCACUUCAAAGAUCUACAGAAUAUAGUAUUUAAGAUGUUUUAAUAGCAUAAGGCUUUUCAUGACAAUGAUACAAGUUUGCUCCUGGAAGCACUAAUCUACUUCAGAGACGAUGAUGUGCACUGAAGAAAGUUUGCUUUCCUUUGUGGCAAAGUUAGUCACUGGGCAAUAAACUGUACUUGCUUCAACUGCUGACAUCAUGCUGUCCAAAUUGGACAAGCAGAACACAAAGGAAGGCAACUGCUGAACUUUACCAAGACAAGGUAGGACAGUCCUUCAAAAUCCUGUUUCACAGAAAGUCUUGUCGGAUAUGCUAGGCCGGUGGGCUGAAGAUGAAUGACCCAAUGUUUCAGAGGAAACUUGGGUGAUGGCCCAAGCAGUCAGCUGCUUCUGUCAUUUCUACCGUUUUGGAAGUUGCUUGCUCUGCACUUCCUGUUUACUCAGAUAAUAUUAAAUCCUUCUUGGGUCUCUGAUGGAGUUCAAGAUGAGAUAGUUAUAGUUACAGUUAUAGUUAUAGUUUUCUUUGUUACCAAAUUCAGAAAAAAAACUCACAAGAGGUGUAAAGUGCAAGGAUGACCCCAGCUAAGACUCCUAGCAAGAGUGGAGAGGGUAAGUGAACUGGCCUUUCCCUGUAAUCAGAUUGGUGACUACCCCAACUGUCACCAGAGACACUCUAUCCAGUAACUGAUGGAAGCAGAUGCAGAGAUCCUCAGCCAAGCACUGGGUAGAGCUCCAGGAGUCCUCUUGAAGAAAGGGAGGAGGGAUUUUAUGAGCCAGUAGGAGGGGCCAGUGUCAUAGUCAUGACAGAGGAACCUACAGAGACUGCUGACCUGAGCUCACGAGAACUCAUGGACUCUGAACCAACCGUUAGGGAACCUGCAUGGGACCGACCUUAGAUCUCUGCAUGUGUGUGACAGUUGUAUAGCUUGGUCUGUUUCUAUGGCUCCUAGCAGUGAGAUCAGGACCUGUCCCUGGCCCUUAGCUGGCUUUUCGGAACCUGUUCCACAUGAUAAUUACCUCACGCAGCCUUUAUGCAGGGGGAGGAACUUGAUUUCACUUGAUGUGGAAUGUUUCAGUCAAGCCCACGGGAGGCCUGCUCCUUUCUGGAUGGAGAUGAAGGAGAAGUGGAUGGGGAGAGCGGUAGAUGGGAGUGGAGGCAGAGGAAUGGGAGGAGAAGAGGGAGCAGAACUGUGGUAAAUAUGUAAAAUAAAUGAAAAAAUGUUAAUUAAAUGAAGUAAUUUUUUAAAAAGAAAAAAAGAGGUAUAAAGUGUUAUAAUGUUAAGAGACAUAAAAGCUCAAAUUGUUUAUUUAAGAAAUGUUUUGAGGUCUAAAAAGAUAGUUUUUGGGUUGGUAAUACAAGUUAGGACAGAAAUGGGCUGGGAAUAAAACUUUAAUUUCAUCAAGAUAGAUAAUAGAGUAUUUUCUCUGAAUAUGCCAAAUACAAAUGGACUGGCC
ensembl:lncRNA